rnacentral:lncRNA from 1 species
UUUUUUUUUUGUUUUUUUUUUUUUUUUUUUUUUUUUUUUUUUUUUUUGAGACGAGUUUGCUCUGUUUGACCCAGGCUGGGGUGCAUGGCGGAUC